CAGAACUGACCCCACAGGGACUUGCGGGACUCCAGGCCAAUCCAGUCGGCUGCCUGCUGGAACACGCCCAGGGCCUCGGCCCACUGCAAUGACAGUCACCUCAGCUCACCCCUGCCGGCCCCCAGGACCCAGAGCAGACGAGGAAGGAGACAAGGCAUGAUUCCUGGGGGAGACGCAGGCUAUCCUUGUGGCCCGAGGCUCACCAGCAGGGCCGCCCGAUUGUAGAUGCGCUCAAAGGCCGGGGCCAGUGGGAUCUCCUCAAUGCGGAACGUGACACCGGAGAAGCUGAGCUGGCGUGCAAUGUACAUGCCGCUGACCUUCAUGUCCAUGGCCACGAUCUCCAUGGCACCCACGCCCCUGUGGAUGAGCACAGGCUGCCUGGGCACUGGCAGGGGACCUGCCAGCCACAUGCUGGGUCCCACCCUGAGAUGGAUCAACCCGGGAAGGGGCUGCCACUCGGAGCCCUGGAGAGUGAAUGAGGAAGAGCCAAGUGCACAGCGGGAGCAGAGAGCACUUGCAAAGGCCCAGUGGCCACCAAGGGCCGAGUAGCCCUUGGAAACGGACAAAAGGUGGUCUGCCUGGGCCAAGGAGGGAUCUGUGGGAUCAGGAAGGUGGGGGGGGGCUUUCCCCUGAGACCAGUGGGAAGUACCAGGCAAAGAAAGGAUGGGAUUUGCUUUUAAAGAUCCCUCUGGUUGCCAGAAGAGUGUGGGCAGGGGUAUGAGGUGGUUGCACCAGUCACCCGGCCUCCCAGUGUGAUCAGCAGGGCCCUCUGUGGCCCCCGCUCCCACCAUGGGUGGGGUGGAGCUGGGUGAAGAGCGCACCUCUUCUCGAUGGCGUGCAAAAACUCCUCGAAAGUCCUGAAGGGCGUGCCCUCGCCCCAGAUGCCCAGGCGGCUCAUGUAGAUCAUGUUCCGGGGCUCAGAGGCACCUGGGGGAGGGAGGAGCUGCUGAGGGUCUUGGGAAAGUGCCCACAGCCAGUGGGCAGAGGAAAGACCCUCUGAUGGGGGUUGGUGUUUGAGGACAGGCCGUGAGGUGCCUCCUAGGGCCUGGCAGGAGCCAGGCUGCAGACCUGGCAUCACUAAUGGAGGACUGGGCCCUGGCCCUGCCCUGUGUGUCCUCACCUGUGGCGCUGGCGUAGACAACCCUGGCCAGGGGCAGCUUGUUCUGCAGGUCCAGCACGGCCUUGCCCAUCUUGGUAGAGCUGGCAUUCUUGGCUUUGUGGCACUCGUCAAACACAAUCUGGGACAGGCGUGGGUUAAGGACUGUUCUGAAAGGCAGGCUGCCCCACAGACCCACCAUGAUUGCCCCAUGGGGUCCCUUCCUGGUUGAGGGACUCUGGAAGGUGCCUGGGGGUACCUGGCCAUGGGUGGGGUGCUUGCAGUGUGUGAGCCUCUAGGCCCUACACAAUGCUGACAGAAAUUGGAAGACAAAGAAAGUUCUUAAUGUUUCAAGGGGAGAAAGAGUAAGCUGCAGAUAAGCAUGUCCAUUACGAAGGUGUGAGUGCCACACAUGCGCACACAGAGGUCCACGUGUAUGUACAUGUGCACAGAGGGUCGAUAGAGGAUUUGUGACAACACAGGUGAGGAGGUGAGCCUGGUGCUGGCAGGUAGCCCCUGGGUGUGAAGUAAACCUUGUUUUUGUGCUGCUGCUGAGCGGAGAUGUCACCAGGUGCCUGGACCUGCCAGAAACUCUGCUGCUGCUCCUAGCCCUGGGGGAUCUGCACAGACUAAGCCCUUGGGAACAGAGGAUGCAUCUGGGGGGAGUGAGGAGGGCUUUAGGAGGGUGCAGUCAGCCCACUUCUGGCAACAAGGGCGGAUUCCCAGAGGGUAAGGCCAGAGGCUCCUCCACGAGCACCGCAGCAAUCCCCAGGAAACACUGGGGCCCUUCAUUGGGUGCCUGGCUGACGGGGAUAGAGGGGAGAGGCUGGGGAAGACCAAGGAGGGUUUGUCUAAAGGUUGUUACUAGCAAGAGGAGUGUGUGAAAUAAGGAAUUAAUACAAGACAACCAUCAGACUCUUGCUUACACUUUCCUAUCCUUGGUAUCCUAAGAUUUGAUGGGAGCAAAAAGAGUGUUCUCAGGCUGAAGCGCAGAGGGAGACCGAGGGCUUCCUGCUGCAGUUGGGAAGGGCCCAGAGCACUGAGGCCUCCUGGCCUUGCUGGCCCGCCCCAUGGAGCCCAGGACAACUACGGGGCUGGAUGGACAAGGAAGGGGUAGGAAGUGCUUUGUGCCCCCAGACCUCCCGCCCUGUCACCCCGCAGUGUCACAGAAAACAGCCCCCGCCACCGCCCCUGUGGUCAAGGGUCCAGCCUGCUGGAGCCAGGACGCCGAGGCAGGGGCGUAUCCGGUCUCUGAGGCUGAGCCAGCGCCACCCGGCCCUGCCUGCCGGGAAUUUCUCCCGCACUUCCGCUCCCUCCCCCGCCCGCCCGGCUGGCCCCGGCCAGCCAAGACCAGACUCCCGGCUAGCAGCCUGGGCCCCGCCCUGUCCCUCCACAACCCUUCCCCCGCCCCGCCCCCGCCCCAGGUCAGGAUACCACGCCUUCGAAGGCCUCCCCGCACCACUCCAGUAUCUGCCGGAUGCGCGUACGGUGCUGCCCGCCAGCUUGGCUCUCCCCGAUCAGGGCCGAGUAGGUGGCGAAGAGGACGCCCUCUGAGGUGUGGAAGAAGGCAGCCUGCCUCUCCAUGGCAACCUCCAUCUCCGGUUUUGUGCUCAUCUCUCGAUUUUGCACCAAAUGAAGAUUACAGCCUGAUUACAGAACUGCCCCUUUACAGACCGCCUACAGCUCCCACACCUGCCUUGGUGGUUUAAGGGACCUGGGACCUUCAGGAACCCAGUGCCCCUGGGGCUGUGCAGCCCAGAGGUCGCCUGCUGGGCGUCGCCAGGAUACUCACACUUGGA